rnacentral:rRNA from 1 species
UAGAGGAAGUAAAAGUCGUAACAAGGUUUCCGUAGGUGAACCUGCGGAAGGAUCAUUACCUAGAGUUUGUGGACUUCGGUCUGCUACCUCUUACCCAUGUCUUUUGAGUACCUUCGUUUCCUCGGCGGGUCCGCCCGCCGGUUGGACAACAUUCAAACCCUUUGCAGUUGCAAUCAGCGUCUGAAAAAACUUAAUAGUUACAACUUUCAACAACGGAUCUCUUGGUUCUGGCAUCGAUGAAGAACGCAGCGAAAUGCGAUAAGUAGUGUGAAUUGCAGAAUUCAGUGAAUCAUCGAAUCUUUGAACGCACAUUGCGCCCCUUGGUAUUCCAUGGGGCAUGCCUGUUCGAGCGUCAUUUGUACCUUCAAGCUCUGCUUGGUGUUGGGUGUUUUGUCUCGCCUCCGCGCGCAGACUCGCCUUAAAACAAUUGGCAGCCGGCGUAUUGAUUUCGGAGCGCAGUACAUCUCGCGCUUUGCACUCAUAACGACGACGUCCAAAAGUACAUUUUUACACUCUUGACCUCGGAUCAGGUAGGGAUACCCGCUGAACUUAAGCAUAUC